rnacentral:rRNA from 1 species
AUAACUUACCUAUAAGACUGGGAUAACUUCGGGAAACCGGAGCUAAUACCGGAUAAUAUAUUGAACCGCAUGGUUCAAUAGUGAAAGACGGUUUUGCUGUCACUUAUAGAUGGAUCCGCGCCGCAUUAGCUAGUUGGUAAGGUAACGGCUUACCAAGGCAACGAUGCGUAGCCGACCUGAGAGGGUGAUCGGCCACACUGGAACUGAGACACGGUCCAGACUCCUACGGGAGGCAGCAGCC